rnacentral:rRNA from 1 species
AUACGGAGGAUCCGAGCGUUAUCCGGAUUUAUUGGGUUUAAAGGGUGCGCAGGCGGCCAUUUAAGUCAGCGGUUAAAUCGUGGGGCUCAACCCCAUUCUGCCGUUGAUACUGGGUGGCUUGAUUGCGGUCGAGGUUGGCGGAAUUCGUUGUGUAGCGGUGAAAUGCAUAGAUAUGACGAAGAACACAGAUUGCGUAGGCAGCUGACCAGACCGCAAAUGACGCUCAUGCACGAAAGUGCGGGGAUCGAACAGGAUUAGAUACCCUGGUAGUCCGCACAGUAAACGAUGAAUACUUGUUUUCGGCGAUAUAAUGUCGGAGGCAAAGCGAAAGCGAUAAGCAUUCCACCUGGGGAGUACGCCGGCAACGGUGAAACUCAAAGGAAUCGACGGGG